ACAAAUGUGACAUAGUGGUUUGAGUGUUGGACUAAAACUCUAAAGACCAGGGUUUGAUUCCCCAGUUGGU